rnacentral:tRNA from 1 species
GCCCCGGUGGCUCAGCGGAGAGAGCGCCCGUCUACGAAGCGGGAGAUCCCAGGUUCGAGUCCUGGUCGGGGCA